AAUCAACGCUGGCGGCGUGCCUCAGACAUGCAAGUCGAACGCGAAAUUUCCCUUCGGGGAGAAAGUAGAGUGGCGCACGGGUGAGUAACACGUAGGUAAUUUGCCUUUGGGUGGGGAAUAACUCAGGGAAACUUGAGCUAAUACCGCAUAAUGCAGCGGCUCGACAUCGAGACAGUUGUUAAAGCGGGGGAUUGGAGCAAUCCGACCUCGCGCCUAAAGAGAAGCCUGCGGCAGAUUAGCUAGUUGGUAAGGUAAUGGCUUACCAAGGCGACGAUCUGUAACCGGCCUGAGAGGGCGGUCGGUCACACUGACACUGACAUACGGGUCAGACUCCUACGGGAGGCAGCAGUCGGGAAUUUUGGGCAAUGGGCGCAAGCCUGACCCAGCAACGCCGCGUGAAGGAUGAAAUUUUCGAAUGUAAACUUCGCAAGAACAGGAAGAAUAAGUGUGGGACAA
rnacentral:rRNA from 1 species